rnacentral:lncRNA from 1 species
GGCCCAUAAUGAACAUUCAAAGAUAAGAGAGUCCAUGUAGGACUCAAACGUAUCCACAUGCAAAAGAAAAGUAAAGUAAUUAACAUAUGUCCUAAGGUUAAUAUUUAAAAAAAUGCUAAAUUAUCAUGCAUAAUAAAAAUAUGUAGAGUUACUUUAACAAAGGUAAUAACUUUACCUUGUGGAACAUACAUGAAAACAACACGGGCAAAAUCUAAACUUUUUAGCAUAUGAAUGCAAAGAUGAAUUAGAUUUGAUGUCACAUAGAAAAACUAAGAAUAACUACAAUUUCCAAACAUAAUCGACAAGCCAAUGAAAGGAAAUUUAUAGAACAAGGUUCAACCAAAGGAGAAUAAAUAUCCAACACUUCAAUAAUCUCGCAUUUUAGCUAAACAAAAAGUUACCCUUCCAAAUGGUCCACUUAUUUAUCCACAACAAAAAA